GGCAUCUUAUAGUGGUGAUAGGUGUGAUUUUACAAUAAAAAUCUGUCUUGCAGUCAAAUACGCUGUCGAUUGUAAAUAUUUUAAAGGGCCCCAAUAUUAUUCAUCCUUUUUUAAAUCACUUUGACUAUAAUUUUCUUUUCAGUCCGCUUCAUCAGCUUUUUAGACGGAUCCAGACGGCUGAUCAUGAACGACUAUACUUUUCAUAAAUCGGGCAGCAGGAAGAACUGCCCUACCGUGCGCUGGCGCUGCUCAGCCAAGAUGAAAGGCUGCAAUGCUUUCGUUGUCAUGGAUAAGGAAGACAGGGUUAUAAAAUACCAGGCAGAUCACCAGCAUAGUCCUCCGACUUACAUCAGAGAGAAUAGGACAUUGUCAAGUUGUAACUUUACUGGUUUGCCAAUGUAACCUGUUUGAAGCCUCCUUAAAAAAAGAACUAAAAAGAUGGUAUUUUACAUUAGAAACCAUUCUACGUCAUUUACCUUAAAUUCUCCUGAGUGUAUACAUCUGGACAUGGAUUUUUUUUCUGUUAGUUUUGGCUGUGAUGGUGACGCAGAUCGAUGCAGCUCUUCUUAGCGUCUGUCAAAAAUUUUCCUCGAAGCGCUGGCAGUAAUAACAUAAGCUCAUGAUGUCUUCAUUAAACUGGCAGAAGACGAUAUAACUUUCAUCAAGAAGCAAUUCGGCACCGGUGUCCUGUUAUAUGCGGGACACCGGUACGUCGCAAAACGGAGGUACAAAGAUGGUGGCACAGUUUUUGAAUGCACUUUUAGAAAGAAACUGAAGUGUAAAGGACGAAUAACCGUGCGUGACAACACCAUUUACAAGAUGACAGGCCACUGCCAUCCCCCGAACCACGUUAAAAAUGAAAUAGACAAACAGAUAGAGAACAGUAAAGCUUUGUUAGCAACCUCGAAUAUACCAGUCGCUUCGGUGUACAAGGCGACGGUAGCAGCCCUGAAGGACCAGGGCUAUGACUUGACCACUGAUCUACCUUCUUUCAAAAGUCUCAAAAGUUCCUUUUAUAGAAUAAAGAAGAGUUCUAACAAACUAAAGCAACAAGGAGAAAACGAAGGAGAAUUGGAUGAUGAUUCGAAUUAAAUUUUUGGUUAAAAUGUUAUUGAUUUAUUUAACUGUUUUGUUUAGGUACAGUUUGGUACCCGUAUGUUGUUUUGGACUCGGAAUGUGUAUUAGAAAAAAAAAUUCUUUGAAAUAUUAUUGUUCUCAUAAAAAGUUGACUGAAUGACUAUGAUUUUUUGUUGCUGUUACAUCUAAGUUUUACUAUUUUAUCCCCAAAUAUUUACAUGAUAAAUAAGUUAAGCGCUACUUUUAACCUACAAAAUAUGAUUAUUAUUUUUACUUUCAGUGCAGUAAAACGCACCU